GGAUUUGGGGCUGAGAAGAGGUGACAGAUAUAUCACAAAUCCCUACCUUUCAGGAAUGUUGAAGGGAGAAAGAAGUGAGAAGGAGAUCAGCUAGGCUAGCAGAGAAAAUGCUGAGCAAUCCUCAGAGACAGCUGUGUUGGGAAGCUCAAGGCUAUAAAUUAGCAGCAAAGUCAGGGGCCCAGUGCUGGCUGCAAAUGGCCUACUUCGGGGGAGUUCCUGUUCCAAGCACCGUGUCUUUGUUCUAGCAUUGGAUCUUGCUGAAGGCUCUUGUCAUUUGCAACUAAUCCCAAUUUUAAGCCCUGCAUGAGACUCUACAAUAGUCUCACUUAACCAACAUUUGCUUAUCCAGUGUUCUGACUUAUCCAACACAGUCUGCCUCCCACCUGGAUCUACAGCUGAUUCUCUAGGCAGCAAGGACUGAACUUUUUACAGAUUUAAUUUUCCACAGUGUUGUUACUAUUCACAGGUAGCAGCAGUGCUUUUGCUGAAAGCCAUAUGCCACACGGACUCCCUGCAGCAGUUACAAGAAAAGCAAGUGUUAACUGGAGGGGGGAAUGAUCAGGAGAUUUACUAUAUGAGGAGCUGUAGUUCAGCCUGAGGUUCUUACCUGGAAGAAAUGAAGACAGCCAGGAAUUCCACCUGGAAUAGCUGCCCAGACCAUUCACACUGGAAAAAGAGUCUCCGCAGGCGCCUUUUCAAGUAGUUGAAGACUAAUCCCCUGAUGCCCCAACAUCAUAGUCAACUACGGUAACUGGAGCCAGGGAGAUAAUUGACAACGAAGUGCUCAUGGCCUAUCAGAGGGUCCAUCUCUACUUGAAGUGUAAAAAACAUUUCGUUCUAGUUUUUCUUUUGGAGGAAGAUGUCCCAGGACUCCUUGGUGUCUCUACCCUUGUGUCUUUUCAUGGCCCCUUUCCUUCUUGUCCUGGAAGGCGGUUUUUUGAUUAUUCUGCUUCUUUAGGUUUUUUAUUUAAUCUUGCCUUUGUUUGGUUAGUGCACUAUUGUCUCCACUUUCUUUGCACUGUUUUGGAAACUUUGCAUUGGCUGUUAAUAUUAUUUUUCAAACUUAUUAACACUCUGCAAGAGACUCCUCUAGAUUGGAAAUGAAUGCUUAGAAUAAAAAAAAACCUUUGAGAAUACAAUA